CGCGUAGGCGGCUUCAUAAGUCAGGGGUGAAAUCCGGCAGCUUAACUGUCGCAGUGCCUUUGAUACUGUGGAGCUCGAGGGAGGUAGGGGUCUGUGGAACUUCCGGUGGAGCGGUGAAAUGCGUUGAUAUCGGAAGGAACGCCGGUGGCGAAAGCGACGGACUGGAUCUCUUCUGACGCUGAGGCGCGAAAGCCAGGGAGCAAACG
rnacentral:rRNA from 1 species